CAAGCUUAAAGUGGUUGAAUACCAAAAAUAGCAUGAUGAAGAAAUAGAGGAAGAGAAAAUUAUUAAGAAUAAAUUGACAAAGUCUACAUAAGCUUAAAGUGCCACAAGCUUAAAGUGGUUGAAUACCAUGCUGAAAAGUUGCAUGAAGAAGAAAUAGAGGAAGAGAAACAAGAAUAGAGCAAACUCCUUCACAGUUUUAUCAAAUAAACAAUCUAGUCUAUUUGAUGUAGAGCAUGUUAACAAGAAAGGAGCAAAUUUAUUUGUUGGGAAUACUUUUUGUGAAUAAUUGCAAAUCCAGGGCUGUGAUAAAAGGAAUGAUGAUGGUGCGAGUUUUGGUCCAUAUAAACAAAAGAGUAUGGCUAUAGCCUGUACUAGCCAAUAAUUUGGCAAAACCCCUGUAAGGGUUCCACACAUUUGAGGCAUAAAUCAGUGUAUGACCUAUUGGAUUUCAAAUCAGGGUUUGACUUGAAAUCAUUGGAAAGUGCUUGAAAUUGAGAAGAUGGUGUCUUUGGUUGUAUUUGAUUGGGUUCUAAGCAUUAGGAUUAUGGAAAGUGAAUUAGGAAUGCUGAGGAUUGAAAGGAGUUGAAGAGGUUGUCGUGCAGCCAUAGAAUGAGGCAUGGCAGAAAAGAAAGAGGAUGAGGAGGGUUUUGAGAAUGCACCCAGGGUAGUAAAGGGGUGGUAAGAGGUCCAGAGGAAGAAGAGGUGGAAAUGUUGUAUACAUGCUAAGUUCAUUUAAGCUAUCAGGGAAUCAGCCCCUAGGGCAAUAACGGCUUUCUUCACCAUUGCAGUUAGUGAAGAAAGGAUUGUCAAUACUUUGUUCACAGUGUUGUUUAGAAGAAGAGGAUGUAAAAAACCUUGUUGCUUUGCAAUAUUGAUAGGAGAUGGCUUUUUUAUGGUCAUUCUCACAAAUAGUGUCAAAUUGUGAGGGCAAAAUAAUUCUCCUGACAAUGAUAGAAAUUAGUAGGAAAAAUAUCUUUUAUAACUAGAAGAGUUAUAGCAUAGGAAACACAUCCUUUAUAACUAGAAGAGUUAUAGUAUAUAAAAACUCUCUCCCAAGUCUAUUUGAAGAUUCAUCAUUUGUCUCCGAUGGAAUAACCAACUAUAAAUUACAUGGGAUAUGAGAUAAUGGGGAUAUAACUAUUAGAGCAUAGUUAAAAAAUAGUGGAAUCAAAUCUAAAGAUAGUGAGGAUCAGAUGCAGUUAUAUUGUUGUAGUUAUCCUCUUAGUACUCAGAUAUAUUGCAUUUUUGUCUUUUGCCUUGUUGGACUCUUGGUUUCCUUGGACUCACAUUUUGCAAAGUUAUGUAUACAACAUUGAUUUCAAUUUUAUAAAAAAGUCAUUAAUAAAAAAGCCCCCCCUUCACUUGCUAAUGAUGGUCAGAUAUGAAUUACCACCAGACUAGAGCUCAUAUGCAGUGAGUAGUGCGGUUAUUUGUUCUCCCUUGUGCCAGCCUUGUUCCCGCAUGUUUACUUAGAAAUUGAUGAAACCUCUCUAAUGCUUAUGUGAAUGUCUCACAUUGCCGAUGCUUUGUAAUUUCACUGCAGGAGAACAGAAAAUGAAUAAACUUCCAGCUAUCAAAUUGACUAGUGAACAAAAAGGUUUCAGCUAACAAAUUGAAACAACAGGCGGUCAAGGCUUCCUACGAACAUGAAAGGCAAAAAUAUGCUGAAACUUCUCAAUCAAUACCUUCUUAUUCUUGCCCAAAUGGGGGUAUUAUUUCUUCUCAUUAUUUUCCUUGUUAAUUUGGUUACAAUUGAAGUGCAUUGCAUUAGAAUUGAGUCCAUAGUUUUGAUUCUUAUUCCAUUGGUUUUGAACUUUGAAGUUUAUUUAGACAGUGUAACUUGUCCAAAAGAAAAACAGUGGAAAGUUCAAAAUUCUGAACCAUGUUUACUUCAUCCUGGAGAUCCUCCUAGAAGACUAAUUUUCACCCAAAUGAUUAGAUGUUGUCAAAUAUUAUUUGACUAUGUGGCUUAUUUCUACAGGUGCGGCCUUAUAAACUGUGGAUUGAAAUGGAAAAUAUUGAGAAAGGGAUUGUAGAAACCAUUGCUCAGAAUAAUAUAAAAUGGCUUGUUAUGGGAGCUGCAGCAGAUAAAUAUUAUUCAAAGUAUUAACCAUCUAUUACAAGUUCUUAUUGUUGACUGCAUUGAUUUAUUUGAUAUUGUUGUAGAAUUACUCGAGGCUUCCAGCCUAGGCAUUUGGGAUAAAAGUUUUGUUGAAUUUAGUGGAAUUUCUUGAAGCUUCUACAAGAAUUAUCCAAUAUUAGUGCACAAGUAUUGUUGCUCUGUAGGAGGCCUUUUGAUGUAGCCUAGUCGGUUAUAAAUUGCUAUGAAGAUUAACCCAAUUUUAAGUCAUAAAAGAUCAGCUCCUUGUAGUGCUAUACUUUUCUUUUCAGCAUUUGAGGAAUUAAAUUGGCAGACAUAUCUUUUCAAUAUAUUUCUCAGGCAGUUGAUAAAGUUAGGUUAUUUCUUUUGUGUUAGAAUCAAUGUUGCUCUGGCGCUUCAAAAUAUGUGAUACAUGUAGAGGGUUAUGGAUUGUGAGCUAUCAAUGGGAGCAUCCAUCAAAGAAAAGAGGAACACAUUCCUAGUAUACAGGAAGUUCCACAGUAUACUUUCUUAAUUUGUUCCUCUUUUGAAUGAUAUCUCAAAACAAGCAAAGCACUCACAUUGCAUAUGCUAUGUUGUUUUAACAAAUCAUUUACCCAAGCUAUGAAAAAAAAAAACAAAAGGAAAAUUGGAUGCUUUGAUAAUUUAGCCAUGUCUUUAUAUUUGAGGAUUAGAUGAAUUGAUACCUAAACACAUUGGAGAUUGAUCAAACUUAUGUAUCUUAUUGUGAACCUUUUAUAUCAUUGCCUUCUAACUAGAUAACUUCAUCCUCUUAGUUAUUUAAUAUUUUAGAAGUACGUAUUCUUUAAAAGAAUUUGAAGACUGUAGCAUGUAACAGCAUGAUUGAGAAUGAAAAUUUCAGCAAAAGGAAGAAAAGGCUUAUUUAAAGUUAAGUCGCUUGUUGUCGUGAUUUUAACUCAAGGCAUUAGCUUUGGUAUGUGCCUGUGCAAUUAAUUAUAAUUAAGGUAUUGUUUUUAGGCUGAUAACAUUAAAAUGCCCUGAUAACCUUAAAAUGUGCAGAUAUCAAAAUAGGUAAAACUUAUACCAAUUUAAUUGAACUUGCAUUUGCUUUCAGUUUCUAAAUUUACUGAUCCAGACUCAUGAAGAUUGCAGGAAAAUGGUUGAGGUCAAGUCAUUCAGAGAAAAAGGUGGAGCCUGAGGCAUCUUUUGAAAUUUUGACCAACCCAGCGUGGGUGGUUCCUUCUGAGGAGAAGUUCAUUAAAUUUCUGGAAGAAAGCAGAUAUGUCCCAGGGGAAAAACUCAAAAAGAAAGAAAAAAAUGUGCAUUUGUGUUGAGCUAGUACAACAUGAAUAGAUUUUGUGACUCUUUUGUAUUAGUGAACUAUGUUUUGUUCUUCACUUACCUUACCACCCCCUUCCCCACAUUUCUCAGAUGUAAAAUAAUGUUCUCAAAUUUCUCCCUCAUUGUAACUGUGUAAAUGUGGAUCUAAUUGAAAUCGGCCUUGUUUGUUUCAAUCCAGUAGCUUGAUUUUUCUUCCUGUCUUU